rnacentral:rRNA from 1 species
AUUGAGUUUGAUCCUGGCUCAGAUUGAACGCUGGCGGCAGGCCUAACACAUGCAAGUCGAGCGGAUGAAGAGAGCUUGCUCUCUGAUUUAGCGGCGGACGGGUGAGUAAUGCCUAGGAAUCUGCCUGGUAGUGGGGGAUAACGUUCCGAAAGGAACGCUAAUACCGCGUACGUCCUACGGGAGAAAGCAGGGGACCUUCGGGCCUUGCGCUAUCAGAUGAGCCUAGGUCGGAUUAGCUAGUUGGUGAGGUAAUGGCUCACCAAGGCGACGAUCCGUAACUGGUCUGAGAGGAUGAUCAGUCACACUGGAACUGAGACACGGUCCAGACUCCUACGGGAGGCAGCAGUGGGGAAUAUUGGACAAUGGGCGAAAGCCUGAUCCAGCCAUGCCGCGUGUGUGAAGAAGGUCUUCGGAUUGUAAAGCACUUUAAGUUGGGAGGAAGGGCAGUAAGUUAAUACCUUGCUGUUUUGACGUUACCGACAGAAUAAGCACCGGCUAACUUCGUGCCAGCAGCCGCGGUAAAAU